rnacentral:lncRNA from 11 species
ACACGAUCCAGCUGGGAACAUCUUGUUUGCCAUCCGGCUGGAGUGGAGCGGAGAGACGUGUCCCUGCGUUUUAUCAAUGUCUUCAGCCCAGAUUGGCUCUUAUCGCGAUUACCUGGGCUCCUGGAUGAGCAGUUAUCUCCAGGCAACCUACUUGCCGUGGGCUGCCUUUCUGCAUAUUUCUACAUUUCCCCAGGAACAUUUUCGGUGAACGUGGCAACCAGAACUGAUUCAUCGGAGAUCAGCACUCACAAUGUGAUUCGCACAUUCCUUGGAACCAAGAUGAGCUUGGCUAUCGUACCCACUUGAGACCCGAGCUUUCCAAAAGGCAUCUAAGGCAGGUUGCCCAGUGGCAGAGGGGAUGGAGGUGGGACAAGCUGUCAAGUGUGAUCCAUACACUUACAUUCUGCCCUACACUAAGGCAGGCCUUGUGAUGAGCAUCGGGCCGGGGGAAUGGCAAAAGUCUGCUGCCUGCAGAUACUCAGCAUUUUAGAUUUUUUCAUGGGGUGGUUAGGGAUGGGGGAGUGUUUUGUCUCAGUUCACUUUUUACAAGGAUUUAGCAUAAUUGCAAAUUAUUUCAUACCUGUUGCGAAGAGCUAAUAAUGACUGAGGUUCUUUCAGGCAGGGUGAAUCUUUUUUAUUCCACUGCUGCCACCAAUUUGUAAAGGACUAUGAACAUCUAAGGCUCCUUUAGGCAGGGGGGAAUCUUUUUAUCCCACCCGCUGCCCCAAAUUUGUAAAGAACUAAUAAAGAUGCAACCACCAAAGACGCAGGGAGA